UUUUGAAGUGAGUUAUGCGCCUUAGAAGUUGGAGGUGAAACGGCAGAGAAGCAGACAGUCUGUUUCUCUGCCCCUCUCACUCUCUCAGCUCCAACUUCAAAGGCGCAUAACUGAUGUAGACA
rnacentral:sRNA from 13 species